UAGGACGUGGUGUGAUAAGUAGCACGGAGAAUUUUGGAUUCUCAGGGAUGGGUUCAAUUCCUGUAGUUCUAG
rnacentral:tRNA from 1 species